rnacentral:rRNA from 1 species
AUGGCUGCUCUUCUGGCGCCCGCCAUCUCCGGAGAGGUUGGUUUGCGGCUUUUACUGGCACCACUAAGCUCAAAUGUUGUCAUCCGCACAGCCAGUUGUGCGGUGGGCAUUGGUCUACCUGUAUACUCCACGUACAGGGCUAUAGAAAAGAAAGAUCAAGAUGAGAAAGAACGGUUGCUCCUUUAUUGGGCAGCAUAUGGAUCUUUUAGCAUUGUGGAAUCCUUUGCUGAUAAGCUUGUUUCAAGUGUUCCUCUCUAUUACCAUGCGAAAUUUGCUAUCCUUAUAUGGCUCCAGUUUCCUUCAAAUGGUGGAUCAAAGCAUGUGUACAGAAGAUACCUGCGCCCGUUUUUCCGGAAGCAUCAAGCAAAAAUUGAUAGAAUCCUGAAUAUUUUGUCCAAGGAACUUACAAAGUUCGUGAGCAACCAUGAAGAUGAAAUUCGUUUUGUAGAGAACAUGGCCAUCAGGGGUGCUACAACAGCAAAUUACAUCGUAAAUGGGCUUGACCAACCUGGACAAUCAGAAGAAGUUAGCGUGACUGAAGACCCAAAUUCAACUCCGACAGAAGAGCCAGACACACCUAGGAGUUGA